GGUCGAUUAGCUCAGCGGGAGAGCACUCGCUUCACACGCGAGGGGUCACUGGUUCGAUCCCAGUAUCGACCACCA
rnacentral:tRNA from 7 species